rnacentral:lncRNA from 1 species
CUAUAAGCCAAUCGCAAUAUGUAUUGCGAAAGGUUUUUUCUUUUGAUUUGUCCAAAUCAUGUACAUGACAUUUAAAUAUGAAUAAAGGCGUUAUGUUUUAUCAUAUGCUGUUGAUUUUAUUUAUGAUAAACUCCUUAGAUUAGGACAAUGGUUUUAAGACUAUGAUGAGAUCAUACUAGUAAGACUUAAAAUCCUAAAAUCCUAAUCUUAAAUAUUUUCAGUCAUUGGUACAUUGAGUCGGAGAUCAAUGAUUACCGGAAAGACUGGCAUGUCUUAUGUAUGCUCGAUGCAGAGGAUGAUUGAUCUCAAGUUGGGACUUAAAUCGAUUAGAAGAGUUCUAAUCAAGUUGGGUCAACUCGCACUCACACCUAUUGCUGGCUAAGUAUGGAACCCAAUGGGUCACACACAAGGAAACUUAUCAAGGGUCUAAUUGGAUUAGAU